AGGACGAACGCUGGCGGCGUGCUUAACACAUGCAAGUCGAGCGGAAAGGCCCUUCGGGGUACUCGAGCGGCGAACGGGUGAGUAACACGUGAGUAAUCUGCCCCUAGCUCUGGGAUAGCUCCGGGAAACCGGGAUUAAUACCAGAUACGACCACUUUAGACAUCUUCUGUGGUGGAAAGAACUUCGGCUAGGGAUGAACUCGCGGCCUAUCAGCUUGUUGGUGAGGUAACGGCUCACCAAGGCGACGACGGGUAGCCGGCCUGAGAGGGCGACCGGCCACACUGGGACUGAGACACGGCCCAGACUCCUACGGGAGGCAGCAGUGGGGAAUAUUGCGCAAUGGGCGAAAGCCUGACGCAGCGACGCCGCGUGGGGGAUGAAGGCCUUCGGGUUGUAACCCCUUUCAGCAGGGACGAAGCGAAAGUGACGGUACCUGCAGAAGAAGCGCCGGCUAACUACGUGCCAGCAGCCGC
rnacentral:rRNA from 1 species